GCAGACACAUUCCAGCCAAUCAGCAGUAGACCCUCCCUCCCAGACCCUCCCACCUCCUGGACAGCUCACUAAGAAUGCAGCUUCACAAUGAAUGUAAAAUGGAUGCUGUCCAGGAGGUGGGAGGGUCUGGGAGGGAGGGUCUGAUGCUGAUUGGCUGGAAUGUGUCUG